GCAGAGCUUGCUCUGUGGAUCAGUGGCGAACGGGUGAGUAACACGUGAGCAAUCUGCCCCUGACUCUGGGAUAAGCGCUGGAAACGGCGUCUAAUACCGGAUACGAGCUGCGACCGCAUGGUCAGUAGCUGGAAAGAAUUUCGGUCAGGGAUGAGCUCGCGGCCUAUCAGCUUGUUGGUGAGGUAAUGGCUCACCAAGGCGUCGACGGGUAGCCGGCCUGAGAGGGUGACCGGCCACACUGGGACUGAGACACGGCCCAGACUCCUACGGGAGGCAGCAGUGGGGAAUAUUGCACAAUGGGCGCAAGCCUGAUGCAGCAACGCCGCGUGAGGGAUGACGGCCUUCGGGUUGUAAACCUCUUUUAGCAGGGAAGAAGCGAAAGUGACGGUACCUGCAGAAAAAGCGCCGGCUAACUACGUGCCAGCAGCCGCGGUAAUACGUAGGGCGCAAGCGUUAUCCGGAAUUAUUGGGCGUAAAGAGCUCGUAGGCGGUCUGUCGCGUCUGCUGUGAAAACCCGAGGCUCAACCUCGGGCCUGCAGUGGGUACGGGCAGACUAGAGUGCGGUAGGGGAGAUUGGAAUUCCUGGUGUAGCGGUGGAAUGCGCAGAUAUCAGGAGGAACACCGAUGGCGAAGGCAGAUCUCUGGGCCGUAACUGACGCUGAGGAGCGAAAGGGUGGGGAGCAAACAGGCUUAGAUACCCUGGUAGUCCACCCCGUAAACGUUGGGAACUAGUUGUGGGGUCCAUUCCACGGAUUCCGUGACGCAGCUAACGCAUUAAGUUCCCCGCCUGGGGAGUACGGCCGCAAGGCUAAAACUCAAAGGAAUUGACGGGGACCCGCACAAGCGGCGGAGCAUGCGGAUUAAUUCGAUGCAACGCGAAGAACCUUACCAAGGCUUGACAUAUAGAGGAAACGUCUGGAAACAGUCGCCCCGCAAGGUCUCUAUACAGGUGGUGCAUGGUUGUCGUCAGCUCGUGUCGUGAGAUGUUGGGUUAAGUCCCGCAACGAGCGCAACCCUCGUUCUAUGUUGCCAGCACGUAAUGGUGGGAACUCAUGGGAUACUGCCGGGGUCAACUCGGAGGAAGGUGGGGAUGACGUCAAAUCAUCAUGCCCCUUAUGUCUUGGGCUUCACGCAUGCUACAAUGGCCGGUACAAAGGGCUGCAAUACCGUGAGGUGGAGCGAAUCCCAAAAAGCCGGUCCCAGUUCGGAUUGAGGUCUGCAACUCGACCUCAUGAAGUCGGAGUCGCUAGUAAUCGCAGAUCAGCAACGCUGCGGUGAAUACGUUCCCGGGUCUUGUACACACCGCCCGUCAAGUCAUGAAAGUCGGUAACACCUGAAGCCGGUGGCCCAACCCUUGUGGAGGAGCCGUC
rnacentral:rRNA from 1 species